GGUCUUGUGGUACCUGAUGUUCCUCUGGAAGAGACAGAUAUUUUGAGAAGCGAGGCUGCCAAGAACAACCUUGAGCUGGUGUUACUAACAACACCAACUACACCAACAGAAA